AAUAUUGGUCAAUGGGCGGAAGCCUGAACCAGCCAUGCCGCGUGCAGGAAGACGGCCCUACGGGUUGUAAACUGCUUUUGUACUGGAAUAAACCUAUCUACGUGUAGAUAGCUGAAUGUACAGUAAGAAUAAGGAUCGGCUAACUCCGUGCCAGCAGCCGCGGUAAUACGGAGGAUCCGAGCGUUAUCCGGAUUUAUUGGGUUUAAAGGGUGCGUAGGUGGCCUGUUAAGUCAGGGGUGAAAGACGGUAGCUCAACUAUCGCAGUGCCUUUGAUACUGACGGGCUUGAAUACACUAGAGGUAGGCGGAAUGUGACAAGUAGCGGUGAAAUGCAUAGAUAUGUCACAGAACACCAAUUGCGAAGGCAGCUUACUAUGGUGCAAUUGACACUGAGGCACGAAAGCGUGGGGAUCAAACAGG
rnacentral:rRNA from 1 species